rnacentral:rRNA from 1 species
CCUACGGGAGGCAGCAGUGAGGAAUAUUGGUCAAUGGGCUUACGCCUGAACCAGCCAAGUCGCGUGAGGGAAGACUGCCCUAUGGGUUGUAAACCUCUUUUGUCAGGGAGCAACGCCGGCUACGUGUAGCCGGACUGAGAGUACCUGAAGAAAAAGCAUCGGCUAACUCCGUGACAGCAGCCGCGGUAAUACGGAGGAUGCGAGCGUUAUCCGGAUUUAUUGGGUUUAAAGGGUGCGUAGGCGGAAUGCCAAGUCAGCGGUAAAAUCGCGGGGCUCAACCUCGCUCCGCCGUUGAAACUGGCGUUCUUGAGUGGGCGAGAAGUAUGCGGAAUGCGUGGUGUAGCGGUGAAAUGCAUAGAUACCACGCAGAACUCCGAUUGCGAAGGCAGCAUACCGGCGCCCAACUGACGCUGAAGCACGAAAGCGUGGGUAUCGAACAGGAUUAGAUACCCCUGUAGUC